GUAAUGGCAACGGCAACGGCGGCUAUGGUUUUACUGCAUUGCGAAGCAGCCAGUCAGGCAGCCAGCCAGCCGGGGCAGGCAGCGCCAAAUAACCCAACCGAAUGGGCUCGUUCAUCGUCGUUGUCGGUUGUUUGCGUUUUGCACCGAUGCAGCUUUAUUCGCUUAUCGUUCGAGUGGCGGCCACAGCUUAAUCUCACGAUUGCAACGACUAUGCAAUUGUAAACUUUUGGCCGCGUGCAUAUGUAUGCAACUUGUUGUUGGCAUUUCUCUCAUCAACCAUGCAACCAUGCAACCAUGCAACCAUGCCGCCAUAUACUCGGAGCUUUUUUCUAUGCACAAUGACAGCAAACAAUAGCGGCAAAUAGCGAAUGCAGCAACAGCAAUGCAGCUUGGUCGGGUGCCUACACAUUACUAGCAAAAUGGCAGUAAAAAUCCAUCAAGGACAUUGCUGUUUGGUGUGCGGAUUGCAAAGCAGCAACGGCGCUAUAAAGAAUUCAACUCACCGCAUACGAGUUCGAGUCGGUCCAACGGUGGGUUGUCGCCAGCCACCGUCUUUGGUUGCAUAUUCGUGGUGAUUUCCAUGCAAUCUGGCAACGUUACAGCGUACAGGUGUAUACGAAAUUCAAAUCCAAUUGACUAUGCAAUCGAUUAAUGGCAGUUGAAUUUAAAAUAUUAACAUUUUAAGGGAGAAGAGCUGGUGAUUUGUUGAUGUAGUUGGUCGAAGACCCAUAAGAAAAAACGUUAACCUUGGUUGCACCUACGUAUAAUACCAUUCACAAAUAAAAAUGUUUCCAUAACCAUUUCCACAAGAACUUGACCCGUCAGUUUGUCUGACAUCUAUGGGAUAUGGUAAAUAGAAGUCCGUACGAACAAUUUAUAUCGGAGAUUGUACCGUUGAGUUGGGUUUAAGAAAGCUUAGAUUUGAAAUUGUAAAAAAAAAUUUAUUUCAAUAAAAUUUAUAAAAUAAAUAUAAUAUCAUCAUAUGACAACAAUCCAAAUAAGAAUAAGGAGGCUUAUAACUGUAAAUAUUUUUUAAAUAGGGUUGCCACCUAUUCACAUUUUUGAAUCAGUUAAAUUAAUUCCAUAAAGUCACUAUGUAUGAUGUACAAGUAGGGUUUGUAAGCUUACAGUUUAAAAAUUUUUUUAUUAGGGCGGGGUGCAUUCAGGGUUGCGAAUUUUAUAUUUAACAAUUUUUGGAUUAAAAAUUAAAUUUUUAUUUUUUAACUAAAAAUUUAUUUUUUAUUUUUAAUCGCGAUCUUGGUACCUAAAAUUAGAUUUUCAUUUUGUAAUCCCGAUGUUGGGAAAAUAUGAUUUGAAUAUACACAAAAAAAUAUUAAUUCUUAAAC